AUUGAACGCUGGCGGCAUGCCUAACACAUGCAAGUCGGACGCCUCCGGGGGUUUCGGCCUCCGGCGGAGUGGCGGACGGGUGAGUAGCGCGUGGGAACCUGCCCCUUUGUGGGGGAUAACCGAGGGAAACUUCGGCUAAUACCGCAUGCGCCCCGGUGCUAAGCCGGGGGAAAGAUUUAUCGCAGAGGAGGGGCCCGCGU
rnacentral:rRNA from 1 species